rnacentral:rRNA from 1 species
CGUGUAGGCGGCUUCGUGUGUCUUUCUGUGAAAGCCCUCGGCUCAACCGAGGAAUUGCAGGAGAAACUGCGGAGCUCGAGUCCGGGAGAGGAAAGCGGAAUUCCCAGUGUAGCGGUGAAAUGCGUAGAUAUUGGGAGGAACACCAGUGGCGAAGGCGGCUUUCUGGACCGGUACUGACGCUGAGACGCGAAAGCUAGGGGAGCAAACG